CCUACGGGUGGCUGCAGUGGGGAAUAUUGCACAAUGGGCGCAAGCCUGAUGCAGCCAUGCCGCGUGUGUGAAGAAGGCCUUCGGGUUGUAAAGCACUUUCAGCGGGGAGGAAGGCGUUAAGGUUAAUAACCUUGUCGAUUGACGUUACCCGCAGAAGAAGCACCGGCUAACUCCGUGCCAGCAGCCGCGGUAUUACGGAGGGUGCAAGCGUUAAUCGGAAUUACUGGGCGUAAAGCGCACGCAGGCGGUCUGUCAAGUCGGAUGCGAAAUCCCCGGGCUCAACCUGGGAACUGCAUUCGAAACUGGCAGGCUAGAGUCUUGUAGAGGGGGGUAGAAUUCCAGGUGUAGCGGUGAAAUGCGUAGAGAUCUGGAGGAAUACCGGUGGCGAAGGCGGCCCCCUGGACAAAGACUGACGCUCAGGUGCGAAAGCGUGGGGAGCAAACAGGAUUAGAUACCCGUGUAGUC
rnacentral:rRNA from 1 species